rnacentral:rRNA from 1 species
UACGGGGGGGGCAAGCGUUGUUCGGAAUUACUGGGCGUAAAGGGCUCGUAGGCGGCCAACUAAGUCCGACGUGAAAUCCCCAGGCUUAACCUGGGAACUGCGUCGGAUACUGGAUGGCUUGAAUUCGGGAGAGGGAUGCAGAAUUCCAGGUGUAGCGGUGAAAUGCGUAGAUAUCUGGAGGAACACCAAUGGCGAAGGCAGCUCGCUGGGACGGUACUGACGCUGAGACGCGAAAGCGUGGGGAGCAAACAGG